UCCGUAGGCGGGCAAUUAAGUCAGAGUUGAAAUCCCACAGCUCAACUGUGGAACUGCCUUUGAUACUGGUUGUCUUGAGUUACAGUGAAGUAGAUAGAAUAUGUAGUGUAGCGGUGAAAUGCAUAGAUAUUACAUAGAAUACCGAUUGCGAAGGCAGUCUACUAACUGUAUACUGACGCUAAUGGACGAAAGCGUGGGGAGCGAACAGGAUUAGAUACCCUGGUAGUCC
rnacentral:rRNA from 1 species